rnacentral:lncRNA from 1 species
UAGCGGUUCCUCAAACGCCAAUAACUUCGUCGAACUCAAAGUCGGUAGCAAAUCACACAAAGACUACAGUUAUGUUUGUAAGAAAAUAUGUAGAAGAAGUUCAGAAAAUUCGAUGUAGAAAAUUGAGAGAAAUCAAUAACCUCCUGCCACUGAGACUUCUUCAUUCUCAUCAACAAGGUAUCACGCGUGAUACCUGAAAAGAAGAAUAAGAGAACUACUGAUUGGGAAUUCUAAUAAAACUUGAUGCAAACUAGGAUGACUGUUGCUUGCCUGCAUUAAAAAAUAUUGUUUCCCUUGUAUAUUUGGGGUAAAAACAUGUUCCUCUCUAACUAGAAAGUUGCAAAGAUUUUUUUGGAUGCUUAAUGCCACAGCACAAACGUUAACUUGUUGGUAUUAUCUUGGUGCAAAAUUGAUUAAAUGAUCUUUUUGACUCGUUCCCACAAAAAAAAAAGGUGGUAGCGAACCUGUAUUAUUGAUCAAG